rnacentral:sRNA from 1 species
UACGUCCGAAGCGUCUGUAGUUAAGAUA